ACCAUUAUUUCUAUAUAUAUAUAUAUAUGCUACUUCGCAUUUCUCGUUCUUCUCUUAGCGAUUAGCUACUCUUGACCAUACUACUAUCUACUUAUUACUAUUACUAUUACCUCCCUUCUAUUAUUUUCUACUAUUCACUUUUCACAUGUGGUUCCCAACUAUGCUGCAGCUGGUGGUCGCAGUGUAUAGGUAGUGGGUUGGUUGGCCACACCCGGUGUGGGCCGGGCUACACCACCGCACCCACGGGUCACCACCACAACCACGGGUAUAAAUAUCAUUAUGAGCGCAACCAUUUGACAAAUGGCUACGUUGGCUUUUCGCUAUGGAUAACCUAAUGGUCAUGGUGCUAUCUUAUCACACACACUGUUAUCACUCUCACAAUUCUACAAUCAAUCAAUCACUCAGAUAUCAUGUAGAUGGAUAGAUAAAUCAACAGCUAUCUAGCUAGCAUUCUCUAUUCAGGUAGAGAUUUGAGCGGAUGUCGUGCAAGAAGAUAGCUAGAUAAGCCUAGAUAAAUAAGCAGAUAAUUCAAAAAUAAAAAUAGAGAAUACUUAAAUCAAUUAUACACC
rnacentral:sRNA from 1 species